rnacentral:lncRNA from 1 species
AACAUAUUUCUUAAAAGCCUAACUAUUUCAACAAGAAAAUUGAUUACAAUUUUUAUUGAAUUUUGAUGUUUUCCUGUUUGGCAGGAGGUUUGUCAGUAGGAAGUAAGUGUGCUGUGUUGAGCACUGUGUGCCUUGGCCUCACAUGCAUUUUGGAGGCUGUCAUUGUAGUAUUGCAUAUCAAGCUCAAGGCAGAGUAGAGUGAACAAGCUAUACACAUGUUACAAUCCACUUCAAACCAGAGUCAAUGAUCUCACUGACUGAAGAAAACCAGUUGAGACCAGAGUCAAUGAUCUCACUGCUGAGAAAACCAGUUUGAGACCAGAGUCAAUGAUCUCACUGCUGAGAAAACCAGUUGAGACCAGAGUCAAUGAUCUCACUGCUGUGAAAAACAGUUUGAGACCAGAGUCAAUGAUCUCACUGCUGAGUAAAGCCAGUUUCAGAGUAACUUCAACUCUUUGAGUCAGAAGAAACUGGAGCUGGAGACCAGUCUCAGUGAUCUUACUACUAAGAAAGGCCAGUUGGAGACAAGAAUCAAAGAUCUCACUGCUGAGAAAAAGCCAGUUGCAGAGCACUUCAACUUUUUGAGUCAGAAGAAACUGGAGCUGGAGACCAGAGUCAAUGACCUUACUACUAAGAAAGGCCAGUUGGAGACCAGAGUCAAAGAUCUCACUGCUGAGAAAAGCCAGUUACAGAGCAACUUCAGCUCUCUGAGUCAGAAGAACCUGGAGUUAGAAAGCAGAAUCAGGUCUCUGAGUGAAGAAGAAUCUAAACAGAGUCAGUACAAAUCUGUUUUUGUUGUAGGUUUUAUAUAUAUAUAUAUAUAGAUACAGAUAUAGAUACAUAGAUAUAGAUAUAUAUAUAUAUAUAUAUAUAUAUAUAGUAGUAGUAGUAGUAGUACUGCACUUCCUCUGAUGUCUUCUCAGCCGUCAGUAUGCUCUGGGUGAGAGGACAUGGUUGGAGUUUUGGCCCAGCUUGGAGCACAGCAAGACUAGCACUGAACUCAGAGAAAAAUACAACGGCAUGUUGAGUCUCCAGCAGGAUCUGCGCUUUGGCUGCAGCUAAUUAGUCAAAUGUCAGACUGUUGCUUUGAGAUGCUCAUUGACAAAAUGAAAUGUUAUAAAACAGAAAAAUACUGUGUCGCUUCAUUUUCUAACUUUAAAUAGUAUGUUAAAUAGUGAGUUAUGAGUUGCUUUUGUACUGUUGCUUUUUAGUUAAUUAUUCCUGUUACUCUAGCGAUUAAUUAAUAUAUAUCUAAGCAUGGCUUGUUUACACCCCAACAUUCCAAAAAGCAGUGGUGUGAAAUAUCCAUUUCAAAUGCCAGACUAUUGCUUUGAGAUGCUCAUUGCAAAAGAAAAAGUUUUAAAAAUAAAAAAAAAAAUUAAGUAGUCGCUUCAUUUUCAACUUUAAAUGUAUGUUAAACAUGAGUUUUGAGUUAAUUUUGACUUUUUUAGUAAUUAUCCUGUUACUCAGCAAUUAAUUAUAUUCCUAAGCAUGACUUGUUUACACCCCAACAUUCCAAAAGCAGUGUUAUGAAGCACGCAUGUCUAAGCAAAUAUCCAUAAUAAAUAUGGUCAAGCAAGGUCAUCUGUUCUGAUCAUCCCCUUAUUCACUAUCCGAAACAACAAACUUUUAGAAGGUACUGAUUUAUAAUUGAUGUGCAAAUGCAAUUUUUUAACAUUAUAAUUGAUUAAAUACUUUAUACUUCAGAGUAACCUUGCUGUGCAAGUUCAGUUUUCCAACAUUUCUCCUGAUCUGUGUAUGUGAAUCUGUAUUAAUAAGAGAGCUUGAAAUAAGAAACCUUUUGAAUGGUCAAAAGUAUACAAUCCGUCUCUUUUAAAUACAAUUACAUUUACAGCUUACAUGCUGGUUUGGUGUAGGAUUAACACCAUAACACCAUUUGAAACAUUUUUUACUGAGAAAUUGCUAGAAAAUGUUACAAUUAAUUAAAAAGACAUUGAAUUAAAAAGUUUUUAUAAUAGAAAGACUGAAGUAGUAUUUUCUUGUAAAACAUACUCCAUUACCCUUUUAAUUUACAACUUUGAAUCAUUCUUUACAGUGCUGUAAAGCAGAUAAAACUGACUUUUGCAAAUAUGCCUCAUUCUAUAAUAAACCUCUUUUGCCCGUUUACACUUUAGUUUGUCAUGUAAGCCCCUCUUUAACCUGAACUUCCUCUGAUGUCUUCUCAGCGGUCAGUAUGCUCUGGGUGAGAGGACAUGGUUGGAGUUUUGGCCCAGCUUGGAGCACAGCAAGACUAGCACUGAACUCAGAGAAAAAUACAACGGCAUGUUGAGUCUCCAGCAGGAUCUAUGCUUUGGACAAAAUGAAAUGUUAUAAAAUAGAAAAAUCAGUGUCGCUUCAUUUUCAACUUUAAAUGUAUGUUAAACAUGAGUUAUGUGUAAAUGUUGACUUGAUUUUUUAGUAAUUAUUCUGUUACUCAGAGAUUAAUUAAUGUACUGUAUAUCUUAGCAUGACUUGUUUACACACCACCAUUCCAAAAGCAGUUUUGUGAAACAUGCAUGUCUAAGCAAAUAUAAAUAAUAAAUAUGGUCAAGCAAGAUAAACUGUUCUGAUCAUCCCCUUAUUCACUAUCCAAAACAACAAACUUUUAGAAGGUACUGAUUUAUAAUUGAUGUGCAAAUGCAAUUUUUUAACAUUAUAAUUGAUUAAAUACUUUAUACUUCAGAGUAACCUUGCUGUGCAAGUUCAGUUUUCCAACAUUUCAAGUUCAGCAGGAUGUAAAAUUAAAAUCAAAUAAAUGUAAG